rnacentral:sRNA from 1 species
UUGACCCACAAACGAGAAUGAUUAUUAUUGCACCAUCUGGUCGCGAGAUCAGUCGAUGGAUCAAGGGACCUCAGGUCGGACUUUUGGUCUAUCUCCUCAUCAGGCUAAUCACGGUUUUUGACCCGGCUUAUUGCCGGGUCUUUUUUUG